GGAGCGUUCCGUAGGCCUGUGAAGGGGGACCCGUGAGGGCCCCUGGAGGUAUCGGAAGCGAGAAUGCUGACAUGAGUAACGACAAACAGUGUGAGAGACACUGUCGCCGUAAGUCCAAGGGUUCCUGCGUAAAGCUAAUCUGCGCAGGGUUAGCCGGCCCCUAAGGCGAGGCCGAAAGGCGUAGUCGAUGGGAAUCAGGUGAAUAUUCCUGAGCCUGUGGGUAGUGACGAAUUCCGUGUGUUGUCGGGCGUAUUGGUUCUAGCCCGGCAGCGAAGGGGUUCCAGGAAAUAGCUCCCACAUUAUAGACCGUACCCCAAACCGACACAGGUGGACUGGUAGAGUAUACCAAGGCGCUUGAGAGAACGAUGCUGAAGGAACUCGGCAAAUUGCCCCCGUAACUUCGGAAGAAGGAGGACCUUUAUUUGGGCAACCAGGUAAAGGUGGCACAGACCAGGGGGUAGCGACUGUUUAGCAAAAACACAGGGCUCUGCGAAAUCGCAAGAUGACGUAUAGGGUCUGACGCCUGCCCGGUGCCGGAAGGUUAAGAGGAGGGGUGCAAGCUCUGAAUCGAAGCCCCGGUAAACGGCGGCCGUAACAAUAACGGUCCUAAGGUAGCGAAAUUCCUUGUCGGGUAAGUUCCGACCUGCACGAAUGGCGUAACGACUUCCCCGCUGUCUCCAGCAUCGACUCAGUGAAAUUGAAUUCCCCGUGAAGAUGCGGGGUUCCUGCGGUUAGACGGAAAGACCCUUGCACCUUUACUAUAACUUUGCAUUGGCAUUCGUGAUGGCAUGUGUAGGAUAGGUGGUAGGCUUUGAAGCUUGGGCGCUAGCUCAGGUGGAGCCACCCUUGAAAUACCACCCUUGUAGUUAUGAGUGUCUAACCGCGACCCGUUAUCCGGGCCCGGGACAAUGCAUGGUGGGUAGUUUGACUGGGGCGGUCGCCUCCCAAAGAGUAACGGAAGCGCGCGAUGGUGGGCUCAGAGCGGUCGGAAAUCGCUCGUCGAGUGCAAUGGCAUAAGCCCGCCUGACUGCGAGACUGACAAGUCGAGCAGAGUCGAAAGACGGCCAUAGUGAUCCGGUGGUCCCACGUGGACGGGCCAUCGCUCAACGGAUAAAAGGUACGCCGGGGAUAACAGGCUGAUGAUCGCCAAGAGUCCAUAUCGACGCGAUCGUUUGGCACCUCGAUGUCGACUCAUCACAUCCUGGGGCUGGAGCAGGUCCCAAGGGUUCGGCUGUUCGCCGAUUAAAGUGGUACGAGUUGGGUUCAGAACGUCGUGAGACAGUUCGGUCCCUAUCUGCCGUGGGUGUAGGAGAAUUGAGAGGAUCUGUCCCUAGUACGAGAGGACCGGGAUGGACGUACCUCUGGUGGACCUGUUGUGGCGCCAGCCGCAUUGCAGGGUAGCUAUGUACGGACGGGAUAACCGCUGAAGGCAUCUAAGCGGGAAACCCACCUCGAAACUAUGUCUCCCUUGAGAGCCGUGGAAGACGACCACGUUGAUAGGCCGGGUGUGGAAGCGCAGUAAUGUGUGAAGCUUACCGGUACUAAUAGCUCA
rnacentral:rRNA from 1 species